rnacentral:tRNA from 1 species
UGAUGUGGCUCAGUUGGUAGAGCAGCUGAUUCGUAACCAGCAGGUCGGAGGUUCGAUCCCUCUCAUCAG